rnacentral:rRNA from 1 species
GAUGAACGCUGGCGGCGUGCCUAAUACAUGCAAGUCGAGCGAACAGACGAGGAGCUUGCUCCUUCGACGUUAGCGGCGGACGGGUGAGUAACACGUAGGUAACCUACCUAUAAGACUGGGAUAACUUCGGGAAACCGGAGCUAAUACCGGAUAAUAUUUCGAACCGCAUGGUUCGAUAGUGAAAGAUGGCUUUGCUAUCACUUAUAGAUGGACCUGCGUCGUAUUAGCUAGUUGGUAAGGUAACGGCUUACCAAGGCAACGAUACGUAGCCGACCUGAGAGGGUGAUCGGUCACACUGGAACUGAGACACGGUCCAGACUCCUACGGGAGGCAGCAGUAGGGAAUCUUCCGCAAAGGGCGAAAGCCUGACGGAGCAACGCCGCGUGAGUGAUGAAGGUCUUCGGAUCGUAAAACUCUGUUAGUAGGGAAGAACAAACGUGUAAGUAACUGUGCACGUCUUGACGGUACCUAAUCAGAAAGCCACGGCUAACUACGUG